CCUACGGGAGGCAGCAGUGAGGAAUAUUGGUCAAUGGCCGGAAGGCUGAACCAGCCAAGCCGCGUGAAGGACGAAGGUGCCAAGCAUUGUAAACUUCUUUUAUAAAGGAAUAAAACGAGGCACGUGUGCCUUUUUGCAUGUACUUAUUGAAUAAGGACAGGCGAAAUCCGUGCCAGCAGCCGCGGUAAUACGGGGGAUCCGAGGGUUAUCCGGAUUUCUUGGGUUUAAAGGGAGCGUAGAUGGGUUGUUAAGUCAGUUGUGAAAGUUUGCGGAUCAACCGUAAAAGUGCAAUUGAUACUGGCAGUCUUGAGUACAGUUGAGGUAGGCGGAAUUCGUGGUGUAGCGGUGAAAUGCUUAGAUAUCACGAAGAACCCCGAUUGCGAAGGCAACUUACUAAACUGUGACUGACAUUGAUGCUCGAAAGUGUGGGUAUCAAACAGGAUUAGAUACCCUUGUAGUC
rnacentral:rRNA from 1 species